UGGGUACUAGGAAAGAAAUUUUAAGAAGGGA
rnacentral:piRNA from 1 species